GACGAACGCUGGCGGCGUGCUUAACACAUGCAAGUCGAACGGAAAGGCCCUGCUUUUGUGGGGUGCUCGAGUGGCGAACGGGUGAGUAACACGUGAGUAACCUGCCCUUGUCUUUGGGAUAACUUCAGGAAACUGGGGCUAAUACCGUAUAGGAUCUCCUGCUGCAUGGUGGGGGUUGGAAAGUUUCGGCGGUUGGGGAUGGACUCGCGGCUUAUCAGCUUGUUGGUGGGGUAGUGGAUUACCAAGGCUUUGACGGGUAGCCGGCCUGGGAGGGUGACCGGCCACAUUGGGACUGAGAUACGGCCCAGACUGCUACGGGAGGCAGCAGUGGGGAAUAUUGCACAAUGGGCGGAAGCCUGAUGCAGCAGCGCCGCGUGCGGGAUGACGGCCUUCGGGUUGUGAACCGCUUUCGCCUGUGACGAAGCGUGAGUGACGGUAAUGGGUAAAGAAGCACCGGCUAACUACGUG
rnacentral:rRNA from 1 species